GACGAACGCUGGCGGCGUGCUUAACACAUGCAAGUCGAACGGAAAGGCCCUGCUUUUGUGGGGUGCUCGAGUGGCGAACGGGUGAGUAACACGUGAGUAACCUGCCCUUGACUUUGGGAUAACUUCAGGAAACUGGGGCUAAUACCGGAUAGGAGCUCCUGCUGCAUGGUGGGGGUUGGAAAGUUUCGGCGGUUGGGGAUGGACUCGCGGCUUAUCAGCUUGUUGGUGGGGUAGUGGCUUACCAAGGCUUUGACGGGUAGCCGGCCUGAGAGGGUGACCGGCCACAUUGGGACUGAGAUACGGCCCAGACUCCUACGGGAGGCAGCAGUGGGGAAUAUUGCACAAUGGGCGGAAGCCUGAUGAAGCAACGCCGCGUGCGGGAUGACGGCCUUCGGGUUUUAAACCGCUUUCGCCUGUGACGAAGCGUGAGUGACGGUAAUGGGUAAAGAAGCACCGGCUAACUACGUG
rnacentral:rRNA from 1 species